AGAGGUAAGAGGUACUACAGGGGUAGGAGUGAAAUCGUUGUAAUCCCUGUGGGACCACCUGUGGCGGAGGCGUCUACCAGAACGGGUUCGACGGUGAGGGACGAAAGCUGGGGGCACGAACCGGAUUAGAUACCCGGGUAGUCCCCAGCCGUAAACGAUGCUCGGCUAGGUGUCAGGCAUGGGCGCGACCGUGUCUCGGUGCCGCAGGGGAAGCCGUGAAGCGAGGCCACCUGGGAAGUACGGCCGCGAAAGGCUGAAACUUAAAGGAAUUGGCGGGGGAGCACAACAACGGGUGGAGACCCUGCGGGUUUUAAUUGGACUCAACGCCGGACAACUCAACCGGGGGGCGACAGCAAUAUGUAGGCCAAGCUGAAGACUUUGCCUGAAUCGCUGAGUAGAGGUGCAUGG
rnacentral:rRNA from 1 species